AUGUUCAAGCGUCGCUGGGAUGAGCCGGCACUUAUGAAGGAGGGUGGCAGCAGCAGGGGGAUCGGUGAGAUGACGCAGACGAAGGAGGAGGCAAAAGGUGGAGGAGAAAGCAAGAAACCGGGUCAGAUCAAGGUAGGAGAUGUGGUUGUCCCGGUAAAUUCAGAAGUGAAGAAAGGAAAGAAUUGUGUCUCUAAGUUUGAUGAUGAUGACGAUGAUUUGUUGGAGUUUGAUGAGGAGCCGUGGGUGAUUAGGGACAAGAAAGGGGAUGAUCAAAAGGGUGGUGCACGGGUGAAAGUUUGCUCUAGGUGCACUCAAAAGGGACAUGGUGUUGCUGAUUGUAAGGUGGAUCGUGCAUGUCUACCACAAAUGUCCAGUCCUAAAGCUUCCAAAGACGGUGUUGGCUAUGCGGUUGAAGGCCUAGGUUUUCAGCACAUCCCACAUCAACCGCUUCAAAGGAACAAGAAGACUACGAAGAAGGCUCUUGUGCAUGUGGUUGGUGGUGCUCUUUCGGUGGAAAGGUUGGUCACUCUUCUCCACAAGUUGUGUCCAACUAAAUGGAAGUGGGAGCCAGUGCCACACGGGAAGGACGCUUUUGUUAAAAGUGGAGAAGACAAUGAGGGAAGGGAGAAGGGUCCAAAAAUGUCAAAGGUUGAUGAUAUGGUAAUUGAUGACAAUCAUGAUAGGAGUGAAGGGAGUAAAGAGGCACAGGAAGGUUCUGAUUUAGAGAAAGAAAUGGAUUUUUCUAUGAUGGCUGAAAAUAUCUUGGAUGUGGCUGUCCAAGAUGUGUUGGAGGAGGUGUAUGAGAGGGUAGAGAGGGAGGAAAUGGAGGAAAAUGAGGCGGGGGUGCAGCAGGAAAAGAUUGUUCAGCUGGCUAAUGUUGGGGAGGUGUUGGUGACACCAAAAAGGGCUAGCGAGAGGUUGAUGGGCAGCAGCGGGAGACAUUCACUUGAAAAGGCUAAGUCCAAAAAGGCAUGGAUGAAUCUCGACCCUCUCUCAGGGAAACAGAUUGAGGGAAUAAAAGCAGCAAGCAAACCUGCGACGAUGCUGUCGCUGACGCUGCUCCUCUCACCGCUCGCCAUACCGACCGUCAAGACCGAGACGUACACUUGCGACGACUUCCUGCAGCAGGUUCCGCCGGCCACCGCCGACGCCGCCACGGACUCCCCGCGUAGGUUCACCGCUGCCCGAGCUCAUGGUGGCGGC
rnacentral:lncRNA from 1 species